GAAAGUGCCGACAGUGACGUCAUGGCAAUACGGGAGAGAAAGCGAGAAACGUGAAACGUGUGCUGUAACUGUGGGUGAAAUACCGGGAAAGCCCCACAGAAGACAGGUCACGCGCUGUCUCGUCAGUCCCGAAACCAGGUUUUGGCCAGUCAGGAAGAUCAGGCAGAGCUGGAGCGUCAAGCGUGUCACGUUGUUGCUACUUUACAGUCAUCUCG